rnacentral:lncRNA from 1 species
CUUAUUGUGUUCAGCUGGUGAAGUCCCAGAGACGCUGCUAGUGCUGUCAAAGACCACCAUCAAUGAUUCCCUCAGCGUGAGGAGACCUCUUCUGCUGGCUGUUGUAACAGAAGGAUUGAACAUGUUUCAGACAUACCUGCUAAAUGAGAGCGCAGACCCUCAGCAUACACACAGAUCACAUUUAAGACUCUGCAGAUCAUCAAGCAGCAUGAUAGAGAUGGCUUGGCAUACAUUAAAGCAAACAUUUCCUGCCAAUAUGUACCACGUUGCAGUGUAUCAUUAAUGCUGUCAGCCUCAGAAUAACUUCGCUUAUGUAGAAUGAUGCAUAGCUUAUUAAACUUGUAGAAAGUUGUUACUUAAAACUGGAGACUUGGUUUUU